GAUGAACGCUGGCGGCGUGCCUAAUACAUGCAAGUCGAGCGAACAGACGAGGAGCUUGCUCCUCUGACGUUAGCGGCGGACGGGUGAGUAACACGUGGAUAACCUACCUAUAAGACUGGGAUAACUUCGGGAAACCGGAGCUAAUACCGGAUAAUAUAUUGAACCGCAUGGUUCAAUAGUGAAAGACGGUUUUGCUGUCACUUAUAGAUGGAUCCGCGCCGCAUUAGCUAGUUGGUAAGGUAACGGCUUACCAAGGCAACGAUGCGUAGCCGACCUGAGAGGGUGAUCGGCCACACUGGAGCUGAGAAACGGUCCAGACACCUACGGGAGGCAGCAGUAGGGAAUCUUCCGCAAUGGGCGAAAGCCUGACGGAGCAACGCCGCGUGAGGGAUGAAGGUCUUCGGAUCGUAGAACUCUGUUAUUAGGGAAGAACAAAUGUGUAAGUAACUAUGCACGUCUUGACGGUACCUAAUCAAGAAGCCACGGCUAACUACGUG
rnacentral:rRNA from 1 species